rnacentral:misc_RNA from 1 species
GGCUUGUAGAGAAGCUGGAUUCUUUUAUGUGAAGGGCCAUGGUAUUCCUGAUUCCCUUAUGAAAGAUAUUAAAAGCAUAGCACGCGAAUAUUUUCAUCAACCGUAUGAAGAGAAAAUCAAGAUCAAACUCUCUGCAGAAACUGGAUACAGAGGAUACCAAAGAAUUGGAGAGAAUGUAACCAAAGGCGUACCUGAUAAACAUGAAGCUAUUGAUUGUUAUAGAGAAGUGAAUCAUGGGAUGUAUGGAGGUCUUGGAGACGUUAUGCAAGGAUCCAACAUAUGGCCAAGUAAUCCUCCAAAUUUCAAGCAGUUAAUGGAGGUGUAUAUUGACCGCUGCACAGAUCUAUCACGAAAGAUAAUGAGAGGAAUUGCUCUGGCAUUGGGUGGAUCAGCUGAUGAAAUGGAGGGUGAAAUUGGUGGUGAUCCAUUUUGGGUCUUUCGAAUAAUUGGUUACCCUGCUGCGUCCAUUUCAAAUGGACAUGAUAAGGCUCACGAUGAUGUUGGAUGUGGCGCCCAUACAGACUAUGGCCUAUUGACAUUAGUCAACCAGGAUGACGGUAUCAUUGCCCUUCAGAUUUACUUAGCAAAGCCUCUGUCGUACAUCGUUGUAUUAUGAUUUGAAGUUCAUCCUGGUUUGCUGAUGAGAUAUAGACCUCAUUUUGUUCCAUUCCUAAUCAUAUUGAGUUGUUUUGAGGUGAGAAAUAAAUCGGGAGAGUGGAUAUCAGCACCACCUAUCCCCGGCACAUUUGUUUGCAAUAUAGGAGAUAUGUUGAAGAUCUUAUCAAACGGAAUUUAUGAAUCAACAUUGCACCGGGUUAUCAACAACUCUCCCAAAUAUCGUGUUUGUGUGGCCUACUUUUAUGAGCCUAACUUCGAUGCUGCAGUAGAGCCACUGGAUGUGUGUUUACAGAAGACUGGUGGCACCAAGAAUUUUGAAGGAGCUGUUUAUGGGAAGCAUUUGGUCAGCAAAGUCACCACCAAUUUUAUUAUGUAGAGAUUGAGCCAAGUCUGAAUCCAUCUCCUCUCUUGCCUGGUUUUGUUAAGAAAAUAAGAACGUACUUGUGUACAUUAUGGAUACUGUGUCUUGUAUGGGCCUCAGCUUCCCUAUCUAUCUCCCCACAGGAAAAAAAGAAG